rnacentral:lncRNA from 1 species
UCCAAUGAAGUCCUCUCUCAUGAUGUUCAAGAGCUCUUGAAAAAGGUAUUGCAUAUAAUAAGAUCUAUGGGGUUAGGAGAAAGCCCGAUUCACCAAGUAGUCCGUACAGCGAUUUCUCUCACGGUACACAUAUUGUAUAUUUACAUUUUAAUUUUUUAAAAGUCGUUUUGAUAACUAAAAUCAUAUUGGAAUUAACAUUGAUUGGAAUCAACUUUUUGUUGAGAA